rfam:Prunus persica cultivar Lovell chromosome G4, whole genome shotgun sequence.
AGUUGAAUGGCAGGGCAAUUCUCCUUUGGCAGAAAGCAUUCGGUGCCGGUACUUGAGAUUGAGAGUAAAUGCACCAAAUAUAUAUAAUUAUUUCUGCCAAAGGAAAAUUGCCCUGUUAUUCAUCU